CACCACUUUAGCUAAUGGGGCCUCCUGCUGCUGCUGCGCUGCCGGAGCACGAUUUCUGUUCUCAUCCUGAAGCAAAGUUCUUAACCUGAAGCACUAUUUCUGGCUUAGCAGAGUCUGUAACCUGAAGCGUAUGUAACCUGAUGCGUAUGUAACCCGAGGUACCACUGUAUUGCAAUCACAGCUUUAACAUGAACUGUUAUUUGACUUUAGUUAACAUUUUAUUGAUACAAAAGCUGUACUCCUGGGACUUUUUGGACAUAUUGCUGAACUGUGGCUUAGCACUGCAGGAAUGAGCUUGGUGUCUUUCCAGACUCAAACAGUCCCUUCUCUUCCUCUUGCGUUGCCAAGAAGAGGCUUGCAGAAGCGUUCUUUUCCAUUUUUUGUUAACCAUGCCUUCUCGCUUUGUCUGAAGAGGGGAUCGUGAUUUAAUGCUACCUAUGGCCAGCUUCAAACAGCCCACCUUCAAGCCAUGGUUUGUGAAGCUGGCUUGCUUGUUAGCAUAAAGCACCAUCUUCAUUUUGGAUGAGACAGCCUCUGUAAAAAACAUGUUGCACCGCAGGCUUAUAUAUUAGCAAAUGAACCGGGCUUGCUUUGUGAAAUUUAUUAACAGAGGAAUAAUUCUUUGUGAAUAUGAUUCUCUUGGAAGCCUGCCUCUUGCCUUGUCUGAGUUCAAUCUCCUAGAGCAAGAUGGGUCUUUAGGGAAAUAGAGGAAUGGCCAGCUGCACAAUCAAGCUGGGAUGCUCUCCUCUGCAGAAGGUCGCUUACAAGAAGGACAGAAGCAAAAGGACAGCACAAAGCUCUGGACUCCUGUAUUCAUCUAGUUUUUAAUUAUUAUACUUGACCUUUUUGCAGGACUAGAGCACAUAGCAUGGUAAGAAACCUUUCAGCUGUAAUGCGAACACAAGUGAAAUAAAUAUUAUUGCUUCCCCAAGGGGGUCCUAGCCUCGUAAGGAGGACCGGACUCUUGUGGUGGCUCCGAACCGGUCGGGAAAUAACAGAGAUCAGGAUUGGCGAAAAAGCAAAGUCUGAUCUUUAUUUUCAAAGAACAGAAGACUGUUGCAAUAGGGUUCCCACUCGCGUAACAGAAGGACGGAGUGAGAACCUUGAACAAAGGAACUGCCUUUACUUAAAUACCUUUUCAUUUCCAUACAGAUCAAUGAUACAGAAAAAUGACAGAAAUGGCACGAAUAGAAGAUUAACAUAAGGUAAGUGGGAUGUUGUAAGAUCUUGGGUGGUGUUAAUGAAGAUGUCGGCUUUGAGGUUGGGAACAAAAGGUGUUGAGUGGUUUUUCCCCUUCAGCGGAUCUUGACUCACAGUUCUGUUUUUGCUUCAUUUUCAGGAAGGAAUUCCGGAGGUUUUGGGAUGAUCGGUAUGCAGUUUAAAUGGCUGGAUAUUUGGGAAACGGUUAUCAGUCUUGGUGUGAAGUCCUGUUUCUGCAUGUUUAUCAUUGCUGGUGUGAAGUUUCCGCUCUGCAUACUUUUAUUAAGUAAACUGAUUUUAUGUUGCAUUUUGUGUGUAUUCACGAUGUCAUUUGUAGACCCAGUAGGUGGCGCUGUGGUGCUUGAAGGUAUUUUGACAGUUU
rnacentral:lncRNA from 1 species